GAUGAACGCUGGCGGCGUGCUUAACACAUGCAAGUCGAACGAUGAAGCCCAGCUUGCUGGGUGGAUUAGUGGCGAACGGGUGAGUAACACGUGAGUAACCUGCCCUUAACUCUGGGAUAAGCCUGGGAAGCUGGGUCUAAUACCGGAUAGGAGCGCCUACCGCAUGGUGGGUGUUGGAAAGAUUUAUCGGUUUUGGAUGGACUCGCGGCCUAUCAGCUUGUUGGUGAGGUAAUGGCUCACCAAGGCGACGACGGGUAGCCGGCCUGAGAGGGUGACCGGCCACACUGGGACUGAGACACGGCCCAGACUCCUACGGGAGGCAGCAGUGGGGAAUAUUGCACAAUGGGCGAAAGCCUGAUGCAGCGACGCCGCGUGAGGGAUGACGGCCUUCGGGUUGUAAACCUCUUUCAGUAGGGAAGAAGCGAAAGUGACGGUACCUGCAGAAGAAGCACCGGCUAACUACGUG
rnacentral:rRNA from 1 species